rnacentral:hammerhead_ribozyme from 1 species
AUCCAGGUGACGAGUUUCGAAUAGGACAAAACGCGCGUCAGACUGGAU